rnacentral:tRNA from 1 species
AGGCGCGUAGCUCAGUGGGGAGAGCGCCGCCCUUACAAGGCGGAGGUCGGCGGUUCAAGUCCGCCCGUGCCUACCA